AUGGCUUGGCUAAGGUGGGAGAAAAUGAAACUACCCAAAGCAAUGGGAGGCAUGGGUUUCAGGGAUAUGCGUGCUUUUAAUCAGGCAUUGCUAGCAAAACAGGCAUGGCGGUUGUUGGACAGCGCUGAUAGCCUAUGUGCUCGUUUACUGCGUGCAAAAUAUUUCCCUAAUGGGAAUUUGUUGGAUACAGUAUUUCCUAGCAGUUCUUCGGCGGUAUGGAAAGGUAUUGUUCAUGGACUUGAAUUGUUGAAGAAGGGCAUUAUCUGGCGGGUUUUCUCUGCAGGACUUGAUUGUUUCUGGAAAACCAUAAGUUGA
rnacentral:rRNA from 1 species